rnacentral:rRNA from 1 species
UCAGCGACUUAUAUUCUGUAGCAAGGUUAACCGAAUAGGGGAGCCGAAGGGAAACCGAGUCUUAACUGGGCGUUAAGUUGCAGGGUAUAGACCCGAAACCCGGUGAUCUAGCCAUGGGCAGGUUGAAGGUUGGGUAACACUAACUGGAGGACCGAACCGACUAAUGUUGAAAAAUUAGCGGAUGACUUGUGGCUGGGGGUGAAAGGCCAAUCAAACCGGGAGAUAGCUGGUUCUCCCCGAAAGCUAUUUAGGUAGCGCCUCGUGAAUUCAUCUCCGGGGGUAGAGCACUGUUUCGGCAAGGGGGUCAUCCCGACUUACCAACCCGAUGCAAACUGCGAAUACCGGAGAAUGUUAUCACGGGAGACACACGGCGGGUGCUAACGUCCGUCGUGAAGAGGGAAACAACCCAGACCGCCAGCUAAGGUCCCAAAGUCAUGGUUAAGUGGGAAACGAUGUGGGAAGGCCCAGACAGCCAGGAUGUUGGCUUAGAAGCAGCCAUCAUUUAAAGAAAGCGUAAUAGCUCACUGGUCGAGUCGGCCUGCGCGGAAGAUGUAACGGGGCUAAACCAUGCACCGAAGCUGCGGCAGCGACGCUUAUGCGUUGUUGGGUAGGGGAGCGU